AUUGAACGCUGGCGGCAGGCCUAACACAUGCAAGUCGAGCGGAUGAAGGGAGCUUGCUCCUGGAUUCAGCGGCGGACGGGUGAGUAAUGCCUAGGAAUCUGCCUGGUAGUGGGGGGUAACGUCCGGAAACGGGCGCUAAUACCGCAUACGUCCUGAGGGAGAAAGUGGGGGAUCUUCGGACCUCACGCUAUCAGAUGAGCCUAGGUCGGAUUAGCUAGUUGGUGGGGUAAAGGCCUACCAAGGCGACGAUCCGUAACUGGUCUGGGAGGAUGAUCAAUCACACUGGAACUGAGACACGGUCCAGACUCCUACGGGAGGCAGCAGUGGGGAAUAUUGGACAAUGGGCGAAAGCCUGAUCCAGCCAUGCCGCGUGUGUGAAGAAGGUCUUCGGAUUGUAAAGCACUUUAAGUUGGGAGGAAGGGCAGUAAGUUAACACCUUGCUGUUUUGACGUUACCAGCAGAAUAAGCACCGGCUAACUUCGUG
rnacentral:rRNA from 1 species